rnacentral:lncRNA from 1 species
GUGGUGUCGUGCAUCUGCUGGAGCCCAAUGCUGGUGUUGGUGGCGCUGGCGGUCGGCGGCUGGAGCUCUACCUCCCUGCAGCGGCCACUGUUCCUGGCCGUGCGCCUUGCCUCCUGGAACCAGAUCCUGGACCCUUGGGUGUACAUCCUACUGCGCCAGGCCGUGCUGCGCCAACUGCUUCGCCUCCUGCCCCCGAGGGCCGGGGCCAAGGGCGGCCCCGCGGGGCUGGGCCUAACACCGAGCGCCUGGGAGGCCAGCUCGCUGCGCAGCUCCCGGCACAGCGGCCUCAGCCACUUCUAAGCACAACCAGAGGCCCAACGACUAAGCCAGCCCACCCUGGGCUGGGCCCAGGUGCGCGGCGCAGAGCCUUUGAGGAAUAAAAAGCCAUUCUGCGAGCCCAGGCAGGACGGUGUGUCCCGUCGGGGCUUCGGCAUCCACUGGGGCCGCGCGGGGGGCUGCAGGGACGCCGCGUGCGCCUCCAGGGUGGAUGCAGUUCCGGGGCCUACCAGAAGAGGGCGCGGAGACACGGGGGCGUGGUUCUAGGAGGUUCGAGGCUGCCGGGCCCGUGGGCGCCAGAGCCGCAGGAGCAAGCGCACCGUGCGGGCGGCGGGGGCUGGGACUCCGCUGGGAGCAGAGACAGAGGGUGUGUGGGGCGUUUCCUGACCUUGCCGCUGCCCUAACGGACUUCCGAAACCAUUCUGCUCACUGCGGCUUUGAGCUCUUCCAAUACAGCCCCAAAACCCUAUCCCCAAACCAUUUUGCUCCACGCCCCUGGGCGCCCCCCAACACAAUCCCGACCCCCCCUCCCAUCUCGGCUUACCCACGCUCCCCACCAUAAGAACAGCCCCGAGUCCACGCCGCCCCUUGAUCCUCUUCAGAUGACACCCCCAUCAGUCAGACUCCCACGACCACCCAGCCACC